GACGAACGCUGGCGGCGUGCUUAACACAUGCAAGUCGAACGGUAAGGCCCUUCGGGGUACACGAGUGGCGAACGGGUGAGUAACACGUGGGUGAUCUGCCCUGCACUUCGGGAUAAGCCUGGGAAACUGGGUCUAAUACCGGAUAGGACCCUGGGAUGCAUGUCCUGGGGUGGAAAGCUUUUGCGGUGUGGGAUGGGCCCGCGGCCUAUCAGCUUGUUGGUGGGGUGAUGGCCUACCAAGGCGACGACGGGUAGCCGGCCUGAGAGGGUGACCGUCCACACUGGGACUGAGAUACGGCCCAGAGUCCUACGGGAGGCAGCAGUGGGGAAUAUUGCACAAUGGGCGCAAGCCUGAUGCAGCGACGCCGCGUGAGGGAUGACGGCCUUCGGGUUGUAAACCUCUUUCAGCACCGACGAAGCGCAAGUGACGGUAGGUGCAGAAGAAGGACCGGCCAACUACGUGCCAGCCGCCGCGGUAA
rnacentral:rRNA from 1 species